GCAGCAAGUGCAUUACCACAGAGCCAUCUCUCAAGGCUCAGAUUCUUCUUUAAAGAGGUGACAGCUCUAAGAGGGCCAAAGGAGAGAAACAAAAACAUCUUCCUGGGUCAGAGGCAGGAGUCCAGCAUCCUCGGAGACAUCUCGGGAAGUACUUCCUACAAAACUGUAUUCAUUUCCAUUAUGAAGAUGCAGACAAGGUGUUCUAACGUGACAGUGUUCUCCUCGAGUUCAAACAGAGUGUUUAGCCAUUUAUUGGUCCCCUUUAUGCUCCAACACAGAAUUAAAAACAGCCACAGUCAGAAAAUUUACCCAUUUUAUUGAUGCAUUGCAAUUGCUCUACUUUUUUUUACCAUAUUAUGUAGAAAAUACUGAAAAUACAAGCUACUUUGUAAAACCAAAGACAACAACAAAUCCAAAGAUAAACUAUGUUUUACACAAUGGACCCUUUUCCCAGUUAGUAUUAAAUUUUAAAUAGCUAUUUCUUUUGUUAAAAUGAUUAUUUUACAUACUCCCUAAGUACACCUGCAUUACGAACAUAGAUCAGUAAUUCUCAGAACUACCUGUUUCUAGAAGCUUGUUGUAAAAGGAAGCACACAACCAGAAAAGGGAGAAAGAAAAAAGUUUAAACCACACACAGUAACUAGCAUAUCAAAUACAUUUAAUAAAGUAGGAAUUCCAUUGCAAUAUCAAGGAUUCAAAGCAGAAAUACUAACAUUACAUAUAAUGUACAUAUAAUGUACUGCUACAUAUAGUGAGAUUAUUUUUCAAGCUGAAUUGAAACCACACAUUAUAUAAAGUUUACCAACAAACAACCAUGGAAACAUGGAGACAUGCUGCACCAUCCAUCAGUUAAAAAAAGUCAAAAUACAAAGCAGGCUUGGCCAUUCCUGUCACCGAGGGGCAAUUUCAUUUCCUACCCUAAAACAAACC
rnacentral:lncRNA from 1 species